UACGUAGGGGUGCAAGCGUUGUCCGGAAUUACUGGGGCGUAAAAGAGCUCGUAGGUGGUUUUGUCGCGUUGUCCGUGAAAUUCCCUGGCUCAACUUGGGGGCGUGCAGUGGGGUACGGGGCAGACUAGAGUGCGGUAGGGGGGAGACUGGAAUUCCUGGUGUAGCGGUGGGAAUGCGCAGAUAUCAGGGAGGAACACCGAUGGCGAAGGGCAGGUCUCUGGGGCCCGUUUACUGAC
rnacentral:rRNA from 1 species